rnacentral:rRNA from 1 species
UACGAAGGGGGCUAGCGUUGCUCGGAAUCACUGGGCGUAAAGGGUGCGUAGGCGGGUCUUUAAGUCAGGGGUGAAAUCCUGGAGCUCAACUCCAGAACUGCCUUUGAUACUGAAGAUCUUGAGUCCGGGAGAGGUGAGUGGAACUGCGAGUGUAGAGGUGAAAUUCGUAGAUAUUCGCAAGAACACCAGUGGCGAAGGCGGCUCACUGGUCCGGUACUGACGCUGAGGUGCGAAAGCGUGGGAGCAAACAGG